CUGGGCUUGUGCUUCCAUGCCCAGGAAAAUACCUUACGGGCCAGCCAGCAACGUGUCUUCUCCCAAGCGAGCAGAGCAUUCUGCUGGUGGUGGGAGGCAGGGAUGCCCUAGAUGCCUGGACCCGGGUCCCCAUCUGCAGGAGGUGCCAGCAGGCUGGUCCCUGGGAAACAGAGGAAUGCAAAACUUUCAUCUGAAGUUCACAGCCUGGGUUGGGCUGCUGAGGCUGCUGACAUGCAUUCCCAGCUAAAAGCAUCCUAAGUGAUACAUGGAAGAGGAGGUUUGGGGGAAAGUUAGUUUGUCUUUGCAUAUAUUGAAUUUGAGAUGACUGGAGACCACCUGGAAGUUUCCCCGGGAUAGGGCUGUCCUGGCACAGAGUAAAAAUGCAGUACUUCUUGGCAGAAAAAGUCAACAUCCUACUCUUCCACUGACUCUACAAUCCAACCCAUUAUAAGACUUUUCUACUUCAAGACCACUAAGAAAGAGAAAAAAUUAUAAUCAGAAGAUAGUGGCAAUUAUAAGACACAUUCCAAGCUUGGGAUUGUUGUCACCAUCCUGGAUGAGGGAAGAGACCACCACGAAAGGUUGAAGACUAAACUGGUACCACUUCAUAAAUACAGAUGUGCACACAUCUAUUUACACAAACAAAAACCUUUUCUUUUUAAUUAGUUCACUUGGCCUCCCUAUCUUGAGCUGUCCUGCUCAGACCAGAUGUUGUUUCAAAUUUAAAUGACUCACCCUCCUGCCUAAACCCCAGGAAACUAAAG